GGAUUUUUUUUUAUUUUACGUUGAAUCGCUGUCUUCCGAAUCUCUAUCUUAACAUUUAACUCGGUCAUUAAAAAACAUUCUUAAAUUCAUACCCUAGAACCGUGAAAUGUUUAACCAUAUUUAAAUGCUUUCGAUCCUAUGUAAAUUAGUGAUAUCAUACUGUCCCUUAAAUCGCUUCAUUUGUUCGGUCCGAGGCCCCGCCCCUUUUGAACGAAGACGAGCAGAGAAAAUAUCAAUAGUCUGGAAGCUGGGGACCGUUUACGCAUUUGAUUGGUUAGGGGCCACGUGUUUAGUAUUUGUUGAUAUUAUAAUGUAUAAAAUAGCGCUUUUGCAAAUUGUUUAGAAUUAGAAGAUAAUCAAAGCGAAUAAAUUUUAUCGUAUCUGCUCAUAAAAAAAAUGACAUAAAACAGGUUGUUCUCGAAAGUUACUUCAUAAAGCUGCGACUGCUGAAAAGUGUGAUUUUCUGAAUGGUCCACAGAUUAUUUUGAUAUAAUUUCCUUCUAACAAAUUUUCCUGACAGAGGACUUUUUUAUCUAGUGAAAAUGUUUCCUAAUGUGAUAUCGCCCUCGCAACUGUAUCAGACUUACUUGCGCUCGGCAGCGAACUUGGACUGUACACAGGGGCUGGGUCAAGCCUGGACCCUCGCCCUCGUUCCUUGUGGAGAAUUUACUGAGGGAGAGGAACCAUUCAUUGUUGUCCCGACAGUUCCCCCUCGGAAGACCAGUCUUACCACCUCAGCCAAAGUCCCCGGGGGAAGGGACACGACAGAAUCCGUCAAACUCCCCCUUCCUCAAAUUCGGAGUAAAUGCAAUCCUUGGAUCUUCUGAAGAAGACGAUGCACAAAAACAAGUGGAGGAACCGUGCACCUCUACCCUCACCACUCCUCCCUCGUCGCUCCCGGGACUCCCGGCCUCCUACCUGAAGGCCUGUGGGACAGGGCUAGGACAAGGAUUGCCGCACCCUACCGCAUUCCUCCCGCGGCAUCCGUUCUACGACCCGCACCUGUCGGGAAUGCUACGACACCCGUACUUCACAAAUUCCCCCUUACUUCCGGUUCCCAAUGCGUUCACCUUCCUAAGCAGCAUGCGGGGGAAGCCCCGGAGAGGAAUGCUGAGACGGGCUGUGUUCUCAGACAUGCAGAGAAAAGGGUCUGGAGAAAAUGUUCCAGAAACAAAAGUACAUCAGUAAACCAGACAGGAAGAAAUUAGCGGCAAAACUGGGCUUGAAAGAUUCACAGGUGAAGAUAUGGUUUCAGAACAGGAGAAUGAAGUGGCGAAAUUCAAAAGAAAGGGAGUUGCUUUCGGGAGGGGGGUCACGUGACGCGACAUUGCCCAGCAAAUCAAAUCAGUGCGAGGACGAGGAUGAGACUAUCAGUAAACAAAGACAUGAAGCUAUCAACCUGUCCGAGUGUACACAGACUAAGCCAAUGGACGAUAAUCUCAGUCCUUGUAAAUCUAAUCCCGUGCACCAUUUACACGAUCUUCCAGAAGUUGAAUCUGAUAACGAACAUGUAAUGGAUGACGCAGAAACAACCAGCUCCGACAGCGAGGAUGAAAUUGACGUUUCAUGAUAGCGAUGUCACUAAUUAUUUUUUUUUUGUACAUAUAUUUCACGUGCAGUUGCUUUUUAUUUACAAAUGUUUAUACGCAAAUGAACUGCAACAUUAUUAUAAGACACAGUGACAAUUCCUUAUGCUCUUACUAUCUUUGUUUUAGCUGUAAAAAUCAAAUUUAUUAUAAUUCUUUUGAUUGUUCUUAUACUAAAUGAAAUACAUGUAAUAAGAAAUUAAAAAUUAAAGCGAAUGAACAAAGUUUGUAUUGUAAAAUGUGUGCUAAGAUUUCAUUGCAUUAAGACUUUAAUUUGUAUCUUUUGAAAACAGAGAAUUUAAGGAUAACAAAUUAGCUUAUAUUUUGAAUUUGUACGUAUCACUCUCAAUAGAAAUAGAAACUCAAUAUCUUACCAAUUAUUUAUUUAUACGUUUUUGUAUCUAUAUGGGUGAUUGCUAAGAACAGUUAAUAUUUUAGAAGGAAAAUUCUGGAAUAAAGUAUCAUUUAAAGUUU
rnacentral:misc_RNA from 1 species